rnacentral:tRNA from 1 species
AGACACAUGGCUCAGUGGUCAUUGGCGUUAGGCCAGUAACCGAAAGGUCGCUGGUUCAAACCCCGCUGUGUUCA